AUUGAACGCUGGCGGCAGGCCUAACACAUGCAAGUCGAGCGGAUGAAGAGAGCUUGCUCUCUGAUUUAGCGGCGGACGGGUGAGUAAUGCCUAGGAAUCUGCCUGGUAGUGGGGGAUAACGUUCCGAAAGGAACGCUAAUACCGCAUACGUCCUACGGGAGAAAGCAGGGGACCUUCGGGCCUUGCGCUAUCAGAUGAGCCUAGGUCGGAUUAGCUAGUUGGUGAGGUAAUGGCUCACCAAGGCGACGAUCCGUAACUGGUCUGAGAGGAUGGUCAGUCACACUGGAACUGAGACACGGUCCAGACUCCUACGGGAGGCAGCAGUGGGGAAUAUUGGACAAUGGGCGAAAGCCUGAUCCAGCCAUGCCGCGUGUGUGAAGAAGGUCUUCGGAUUGUAAAGCACUUUAAGUUGGGAGGAAGGGCAGUAAGUUAAUACCUUGCUGUUUUGACGUUACCGACAGAAUAGGCACCGGCUAACUCUGUGCCAGCCGCCGCAGUAAGAC
rnacentral:rRNA from 1 species